CAUAACCAUUUGUUAAUAUUAAUGGCGUCUUCUGCUCACUGAUUGUGAUUUAAGNAGCCGCAGUACCUUGACUGUGCAAAGGUAGCGUAAUCAGUUGUCUUCUAAUUGGAGUCUUGUAUGAAUGAAUGAAUGGGGAGUGACUAUCUUUAAAUGAGAUUAAGAAGUUAUCUAGGAAGUGCAAAUGCUUCCAUAAAUUAAUUAGACGAGAAGACCCUAGAAAUUUAUUGAUUAUUUUGUUGGGGCGAUAGGGUAACAUUUAACUUACCUAGGAUAAUUUGGAAUAUAUAUAUAGAAUAGUUAAAUUACUCUAGGGAUAACAGCAUAAUUUAAUAAAGUUUGUGACCUCGAUGUUGGACUAGGAAUAGUUAUUGCUUAGAAGGUAACGAUUGUGGUUCUGUUCNAACUGGGAUUCCUAC
rnacentral:rRNA from 1 species